rnacentral:rRNA from 1 species
AUGUGGAUCUCGCAGGAUGUUGAUGUCCACUUGGGUCCGUUGAUCGAACGUGUAGCUGGAGCCCGGGAUCGCUUGGUCGGCCUCCAAGAAGCGGCCGCCAAGGAAGGAGCCCGACUCGUGCUUGCACGCUUGAGGUCGCGCUGUAGCGAGGUCUCCACUCAUGUUGUUGUGACCUCCGUUCCUGAGAACCGCCCACUGACGAAUUUCUUUGAAGUCAAGGACACUGCCUUGAUGGUGGCGACUGGAUGUGAGCUUGAUGUGAGCCUGAAAGAGUUGAAUUCUUGUUUGAUGCCUUUGGGCAAAGUUUUGACUGACCAAGCGCACGUGGGAGGGCACCCCUAUUUCUCGCUUUAA